AUAGUCUGGCCUUGCCCCGGAUAAAUUAAAGGGCUGCGGUACUCUGACCGUGCAAAGGUAGUAUAUUCAACAAUUUUUUAAUUGGAAGCUGGAAUGAACGGUUCGACAAGAAGGAAGCUGUCUCUUGUGUAAAAUUUGAAUUUAUCUUUUAAGUGAAAAUAAAGGGACGACAAGACCCUAUAACACUUCGAAACAAGUGAUUUAUUGCUCUCUGAUGGAAAGUGUAAGAGAGGGGGGUAAGUUAUAUUGUUUUACUGUGGCAGUAGUGAUAGAAAAAUUAACUGUCAUUGAUUAACUAGUUUCGUUUAAAAGUGAUCUUAAUUAGUUAAAUUGAUCUCUUUUUAAGAAUUAUGAGAGUGAGUUAUUUUAGGGAUAACAGCGUAAUUUCUCUUGAGAGUCCUAAUUUACAGAGUUAGUUGUGAUCUUGAUGUUAAAUUGAGAUGUUAAUUAGGCACAGAGGCUUAAAAAUUAGGUCUGUUCAACCUU
rnacentral:rRNA from 1 species